UUGUUUUCUGUGUCGGUGUGUUCCACGCGGAACUGUUUCGGUUUUCCUUUCUGUCUUUCAAUUUGUUAUUUUGUAUUUCCGUGUUUAGUGUUUUUGUUCAUUAAAACAUGAAGAACACGUACCACGCUGCAGAUUGGUCCGAUCCCGUUACACCCAUAGACUACUUUCAGGAUCAACACCAUGUACUCAGACAGAGUGCUGGUGAUGCAUUCUGGGAAGGUGGUGGAGUUUGACAGCCCUACUGAUCUGUGUCAAAGAGACGACUCCAUUUUCUUCAAGCUGGUUGGUGGGAGGGAGAGUAGAAGCCAUCAGAGGACUAAUGCAAAUGGGAAAUGUCAAUGGGGAUCUCUCUCUGUUUCCCCACAGGAGACCAGUGGUGGUGGUAGAAGUUGGCCCUAUAAAAAUUACUGGUCCAGGGUUAGAUUUUUUAAAUCCCCAUGAGCGUUAAGGUUAGGAUUGGGGUAGGGAAAUCUGAUCCUAGAUCUGUGGUUAAGUGCAGAGACUUUUUCCUCGAGGCCCACCGACUGACAUUUAACCUUUGACCUCAGAGUAAGGUAUGAAUAAUCCAACCCAAGCAAGAUUAUUAUUUUAUUAUCUCUUAGGAAGACGGGUUAAUUUUCUAGCUUUUUAUUCAUGAAACGCGUUAAUGCGGUACGAAAGAACUGUCGAUGUGUCAAUGGCACAGAGGUAAUGAAGAAACAAUAAGUACUUGAAUUGCUUUUAUAUGAUGUGAGUAUUUUAUAGCGCUAUAAUGAUUUGGACUGAAAAGUUGUCUUCCUAGACAAGUCAGUCAUUCACUUUGCAGCACCGUCAAUCAUUUGUGAAUGUCUGAGAUUCCUUUUGCACCUGGUCUGUUGACAGAAUGAUCUGUAUAGCUAGAGUGCACAAUAAUGGACAUUCUUCACAUAGAUAAAAUGCAUGUUUACACAUUGUUUGCUGUAUGGACAUGUUGCUGACAAAUAGACUGAGAUGAAGACUUUAAAGUUGCUAUUUCUCCAUUUGUUUACCAUUCACACAGAGCACAUUUGUUUGGAAUAUAGUAUUGUUACGUCUGAGGAUUUCAAGCCAUUCUGUAGCAGAACUACUGUAUAUCAGUCAUUUAAGAAUGUUUCUGUUUUGUAAUAUACUGUAAGAGAGAACAUCUCAGGGAGAAUUGCCUUUACAUGCAGUGUUUUCAGUAGUGGUCAGUACUCUCAUGUACAGUAAUAUGAAGGUGUAACAUUUUCAAAAUAAAGUGGCUGCACUGGUUUUA